AAUGGACCAUGCAUGGGCAUGGCUUUCAGCCAUCCUUGGAGUCCUUCCAGAUGGCUCACCCCUGCACUGCAGUCAGUUGCCAAAGCCCCCUCUGCUCUGGCUCCCGGUGUCCCUCCCCACAAUCUUUGUCCACAUGCCAUCACCUAAGUGCACUGCAAUGUCAGCAUUCUCCCACUGCCAGGGACUCUCCUUGUGCACCCCUUAUCCAAGAUAGUAUCACACCAAGUCCUAACUGUGCCCUACUGGCUAUGAACUCUUCCAGACAGACCUGGCUCCUCCAGACACCCAGUUCUCCUGCAACUGCUUGUGGGCAUCGUGUGAAGCAUGAGAAAGACAGGGCCUAGUGAGAUUGCUAUGAGCUACUUUCUGCCUCCUUAGAAAUCACAUGUAAGCAGCAUGUGUUACAUCAUAUCUGUCCUGUCCAUAGGUGAAAACUUAGAGGCUAUGUGGGUUAUUAAAUCCCUUUUGUUACAUGCGCAUUAUUACAUUUAAGCAAAAGACUGUAUUGUGUAAAAAAUGGACUGUUACAAAUAAAUGGAAUAAACCUGUGAAAUAAAAGUA